GAUGAACGCUAGCGGCAGGCCUAAUACAUGCAAGUCGGACGGUAAAUGGCCCUUCGGGGCUAUGAGAGUGGCGCACGGGUGCGUAACGCGUAUGCAACCUACCCAAUGCUGGAGGAUAGCCCGGAGAAAUUCGGAUUAACCCUUCAUGAGGAGCGGAGAGGGCAUCCUUUCUGUUUCAAAUAUUCAUAGGCGUUGGAUGGGCAUGCGUGCUAUUAGAUAGUUGGCGGGGUAACGGCCCACCAAGUCGACGAUAGCUAGGGGAUCUGAGAGGACGGUCCCCCACACUGGUACUGAGACACAGACCAGACUCCUACAGGAGGCAGCAGUAAGGAAUAUUGGGCAAUGGAGGCAACUCUGACCCAGCCAUGCCGCGUGAAGGAUGGAGGCCCUACGGGUCGUAAACUUCUUUUGUCAGGGAAUAAAGUCGCCUACGUGUAGGCGUUUGCAGGUACCUGAAGAAUAAGCAUCGGCUAACUCCGUGCCAGCCGCCGCGGUAAUAC
rnacentral:rRNA from 1 species